rnacentral:lncRNA from 1 species
CUGUGCUCUUAAUGGUUCCCAUUCGUUACUCCUGUCCUUUCUCUCCCGUCAAACUCACCAGUUUAUGUCCUUCCUCCCCCCCUGACAGUGUAGGAUGGAUUCAGAAGUAUUCAUUUCUGUGUUCCCUACCCUUGUUGGAGUCUGGCAACAGAACGACAUCGGGGUGUGCUUUUGUUAAAUCUGUGGGCAUUAAAAUGGCAUUGCUGUCUCUCACCUGGAUUUCAUCUCACGUCCUCUCUCUGGCCGUAGCCUCAGACCUCCGUGGCAGCCCUGACUAUGAAGGCUUGGCCGUGUCACGUGACCUUUCUGCAUUCUGCUGCUGAGUAUAAAGAAAACAUUUGGAACACCUUUCUCGUUUCUAUUUCACGAAAUGGGUAGGAUCAAAUGAGACGACGUGAGUUUGGAACGGCUACAUGCUUAGACACUUCCCGUGCUCGGCUCAGUUGGCUGGCAACAGCUUAAAGGACAGCGCCUCUCAGCAUAGGAAGCAGCAAUCAUCCGCACCUGUUGCCAAUUAAAGCAUUAAUGGCCCAUCAAUCAAGGAGAAAUCACUGGGAAUGGAGAUGACACAGGCUCUGUGCUCCUGUCAGUUUUUUGGAAGUCAUCCUCUGCUUCAAG